rnacentral:lncRNA from 1 species
AGGUAUUUUAUUUCAUCUUAAGUGGUCCGUCCUGACAAAUGAAAUGUACAGAAACAGAUGAAUAUGUUGUUCUUAAUUGUGCUGUUCUUGCAGACACCUUCUUUACUGGCAGUAGGUUCUCUCGUGCCGGUUGUCGGUGGAGUUGUGUUGGCAUCUAUGACUGAAGUUUCUUUCAACUGGUUAGUUGUAAUAUUGCCAUUAGUUAAUAUUCCAAAUGUCAAAGGAUUGGGGAAACAUUGACUUUUUGAUUACCUCUUCAGAUAUUUGUAAGAUCAUCUACAUCCGGAUAUAGCAAAUCCAGCCCCUCAUAGGUUCGCGGACGUUUCCGGGCAUGUCCGUGGAGAGGGCCUGGUCACCCCUCAUUUUGCGUCCGGUGCAACCGAGUACCUCAAAUAUCACACCUCAAAUCCAUACUACAUAUCCAACACAAAAGCUACGUAGUACCACAUAGAUAAACCUAGUGUUAUGUGGCUGCUAGAAGGAGGGCGGCAGCUGCAGACCAUGCAUCUCCCGCACACACCGACGCGCUAGGAGGCCGCGCGCAGCAGCCUGCAGCCUCACCGCCGCCGACACGUGGCGGGUAGUGAUCCAAGCCGGAAGCGGUGACGGCGACGGCGGGAACUUGAUCUGGUGGAUCGGGACUCCCGCCGGCGCGGUCGAUGCGGGGCUUUGAUACCAGAUUGUUAUGUGGCUGCUAGAAGGAGGGCGCGAGAGGGCCGGCCGGGGGCCUUCUCGCCCACGGCCGGGCAAGAGGGAAGGGAUUUCCUUCUUAA